rnacentral:rRNA from 1 species
CCUACGGGGCGCACCAGUGGGGAAUAUUGCACAAUGGGCGCAAGCCUGAUGCAGCCAUACCGCGUGUAUGAAGAAGGCCUUCGGGUUAUAAAGUACUUUCAGCGGGGAGGAAGGUGUUGUGGUUAAUAACCGCAGCAAUUGACGUUACCCGCAGAAGAAGCACCGGCUAACUCCGUGCCAGCAGCCGCGGUAAUACGGAGGGUGCAAGCGUUAAUCGGAAUUACUGGGCGUAAAGCGCACGCAGGCGGUCUGUCAAGUCGGAUGUGCAAUCCCCGGGCUCAACCUGGGAACUGCAUUCGAAACUGGCAGGCUAGAGUCUUGUAGAGGGGGGUAGAAUUCCAGGUGUAGCGGUGGAAUGCGUAGAGAUCUGGAGGAAUACCGGUGGCGAAGGCGGCCCCCUGGACAAAGACUGACGCUCAGGUGCGAAAGCGUGGGGAGCAUACAGGAUUAGAUACCCCGGUAGUC